GACGAACGCUGGCGGCGUGCUUAACACAUGCAAGUCGAACGGAAAGGCCCUGCUUUUGUGGGGUGCUCGAGUGGCGAACGGGUGAGUAACACGUGAGUAACCUGCCCUUGACUUUGGGAUAACUUCAGGAAACUGGGGCUAAUACCGGAUAGGAGCUCCUGCUGCAUGGUGGGGGUUGGAAAGUUUCGGCGGUUGGGGAUGGACUCGCGGCUUAUCAGCUUGUUGGUGGGGUAGUGGCUUACCAAGGCUUUGACGGGUAGCCGGCCUGAAAGGGUGACCGGCCACAUUGGGACUGAGAUACGGCCCAGACUCCUACGGGAGGCAGCAGUGGGGAAUAUUGUACAAUGGGCGGAAGCCUGAUGCAGCAACGCCGCGUGCGGGAUGACGGCCUUCGGGUUGUAAACCGCUUUCGCCUGUGACGAAGCGUGAGUGACGGUAAUGGGUAAAGAAGCACCGGCUAACUACGUG
rnacentral:rRNA from 1 species